AUCUUAGGCAGGGGCCAAGGAAGAAAAACUGCUAAAUAAUUCGAGGGGAAGACAGGGGUGGGGGUGAAGAGAAUCUUUCUUGUUGCCCUUGAAAGCCCAGGAGUAGAUUCGGGCUUUCUUUUUCUUUCCAACACUGCCCAAGAAGUUCUGAGCCUUGGAGCUGCUCUUGGAUCCCUUUGCUCUGUAUCUUCCCCUCCAGCUACAUUUCCCAUGUUUGGCCCAGUAAUCCAAUAAGCAAUUCCAAAUUUACGUCUGUUAGUCUGGCCUGGUGCCUGUCAUCUUCCAAGGAAGCACAAUCCUGUACUAUGUGCUCUCUCUCUCUGAGGAAGACAGAUGGAUCAGCAAAUCGUGGACUGGAGACAGGAACUCAGGCCCCACCUCUGGCUUGUCAAUUCUGAGCCCCUCAGAACCUCUGUUGAACAUUGCUGCCAUGGCAACUGUUGGGGGAAAACACCUGGCCGAGAGGGAGCCUGCCAAAGCCCACUGUAGCAACAGCAAGGGAUGAAGAGGGUAUUUCCGGGACAGUUGAAGGGCCCAGAUCUGAGCCAGCCUGAACAGUCUGGAAGUGUUUGACCCAGAUUGUUUAAACCAGAGAGGCUGAAAACAUAAUUUAAAAAAAUCAGUAUAAUUGCUUUAGUAAGUGCUAAAGCGAAGGACUCUCCAUGUUUUAACACUGAAGGAUCAAAACCGGUUUGUGAUUCUGCACAACCACCUUAUGGAAAUAGCAACUGAGAAAGACUUCCACCGGGCUGCUGGCUCCAACCAACAUCAUGGCUAAUUGCCCAAUUCCUUCUAAGUGGAGAUGGUGCUGAAGAAAACACUGCCCAGAAAGAUCCUCAAGGGGAGGUGGAGGGGACGCGUCAACACAGGAGGCCAGCCACAUUCUGAGAAGAGCGGAAACGAGCAUUGUAGAACUCCCUAAUGGCCCACUACAGAAAAAAGGGAUUUGCUUUUCCAAUGCCACAGAAUCGCAUCCGGAAAACACUAAUUUUUUAAUUCGGAUUUAUUUAUGAUCGCAAAGGAAAGGCAUGUUGAUUUCUCGUUCUCUGGUGAAGUGUUUCUGAUGGUGGGCUUUUUUUUUUUUUUUUUUUUUUAAAGAUACUACAUCAUUUAUUAAACUUCUCACAGAAAAAUGAAUACUUUUUUUUUCAUGUUUAUUUGAAAAAGGCUGUUUUUCUCAAGAGGUUCUUACCAAACCCAAAUCCAAAUGCAGCCACAGGGGAAAACAAAGGCAUUUUGACAUCCAUCACUACGUGUUGA